GCCGGCAUAGCUCAGCGGUAGAGCAACUGAUUCGUAAUCAGUAGGUCCACAGUUCGAUUCUGUGUGCCGGCACCA
rnacentral:tRNA from 2 species